GAUGAACGCUGGCGGCGUGCUUAACACAUGCAAGUCGAACGAAGCAUUUGCGCUAGAUUUUUUCGGAAUGAAGUUGCUUAUGAGUGAGUGGCGGACGGGUGAGUAACGCGAGGGUAACAUGCCUUGUACUGGGGGAUAGUAGCUGGAAACGGCUGGUAAUACCGCAUAAGCGCAGAAUGAUGGAUGACAUGGUGUGAAAAAGUCCGGUGGUUUAAGAUGGACUCGCGUCUGAUUAGCGAGUUGGUGAGAUUACAGCCCACCAAGGCGGCGAUCAGUAGCCGACAUGGGAGGGUGACCGACCAGAAUUGGACUGAGACACAGCCCAGACUCCUACGGGAGGGAGCGGAGUAUUAUAUUGCACAAUGGAGGAUGCUCUGAUGCAGCCGCGCCGCGGAAGAGAAGAAGUGAGUCGUUAAGUGAUGCCCUAUCAGCAGGGGAGUUAGUGACGGUACCGGGCUAAGAAGCACCGGCUAAAUACGUG
rnacentral:rRNA from 1 species